UUUACACUUUGACUACUAGUGAAGAAAGCUACUGUGAACAAGAGCUGUGAUGGUUCCUGUGGUGGUGAGCAUCAGAAUGAUUCUUCUUCCUUCUCUAAACAUUCUGCUCUUGACAUCCGGAGUUUUUGGAGAAGACUGGAAUGUGACUUAUGAAACUGAAUCAAUAUGUGCUCUUAAAGGAUCCACAGUAAACAUGUCAUGCUCAUACAGAUACCCUGAGCAAUAUAACUUAAUAGAUACAUUUUGGAUAAAGAAGCCAGAUGUAGAGAUCAAAAGUUUAAAAGAAUAUCCUGAGUAUAAAGACAGGGUUGAAUACAUUGAAGACAGAAAAAGCAAAACUGCCAUCCUCAGACUGCACAACGUCACUCAAAAUGAUGAGAGAGAGUAUUGUUUCAGAUUAGUAACUGAAAUUCAAGGAA